CAGUAGCCACGGUAAAACGAAGGGUGCAAGCGUUACUCGGAAUUACUGGGCGUAAAGCGUGCGUAGGUGGUGGUUUAAGUCCGUUGUGAAAGCCCUGGGCUCAACCUGGGAAUUGCAGUGGAUACUGGGUCACUAGAGUGUGGUAGAGGAUAGUGGAAUUUCCGGUGUAGCAGUGAAAUGCGUAGAGAUCGGAAGGAACAUCUGUGGCGAAGGCGACUAUCUGGGCCAACACUGACACUGAGGCACGAAAGCGUGGGGAGCAAACAGGAUUAGAUACCCGCGUAGUCCCUGUCUCUUAUAC
rnacentral:rRNA from 1 species